rnacentral:rRNA from 1 species
GGUUAAGCGACUAAGCGUACACGGUGGAUGCCCUGGCAGUCAGAGGCGAUGAAGGACGUGCUAAUCUGCGAUAAGCGUCGGUAAGGUGAUAUGAACCGUUAUAACCGGCGAUUUCCGAAUGGGGAAACCCAGUGUGUUUCGACACACUAUCAUUAACUGAAUCCAUAGGUUAAUGAGGCGAACCGGGGGAACUGAAACAUCUAAGUACCCCGAGGAAAAGAAAUCAACCGAGAUUCCCCCAGUAGCGGCGAGCGAACGGGGAGGAGCCCAGAGCCUGAAUCAGUGUGUGUGUUAGUGGAAGCGUCUGGAAAGGCGCGCGAUACAGGGUGACAGCCCCGUACACAAAAAUGCACAUGCUGUGAGCUCGAUGAGUAGGGCGGGACACGUGGUAUCCUGUCUGAAUAUGGGGGGACCAUCCUCCAAGGCUAAAUACUCCUGACUGACCGAUAGUGAACCAGUACCGUGAGGGAAAGGCGAAAAGAACCCCGGCGAGGGGAGUGAAAAAGAACCUGAAACCGUGUACGUACAAGCAGUGGGAGCACGCUUAGGCGUGUGACUGCGUACCUUUUGUAUAAUGGGUCAGCGACUUAUAUUCUGUAGCAAGGUUAACCGAAUAGGGGAGCCGAAGGGAAACCGAGUCUUAACUGGGCGUUAAGUUGCAGGGUAUAGACCCGAAACCCGGUGAUCUAGCCAUGGGCAGGUUGAAGGUUGGGUAACACUAACUGGAGGACCGAACCGACUAAUGUUGAAAAAUUAGCGGAUGACUUGUGGCUGGGGGUGAAAGGCCAAUCAAACCGGGAGAUAGCUGGUUCUCCCCGAAAGCUAUUUAGGUAGCGCCUCGUGAAUUCAUCUCCGGGGGUAGAGCACUGUUUCGGCAAGGGGGUCAUCCCGACUUACCAACCCGAUGCAAACUGCGAAUACCGGAGAAUGUUAUCACGGGAGACACACGGCGGGUGCUAACGUCCGUCGUGAAGAGGGAAACAACCCAGACCGCCAGCUAAGGUCCCAAAGUCAUGGUUAAGUGGGAAACGAUGUGGGAAGGCCCAGACAGCCAGGAUGUUGGCUUAGAAGCAGCCAUCAUUUAAAGAAAGCGUAAUAGCUCACUGGUCGAGUCGGCCUGCGCGGAAGAUGUAACGGGGCUAAACCAUGCACCGAAGCUGCGGCAGCGACGCUUAUGCGUUGUUGGGUAGGGGAGCGUUCUGUAAGCCUGUGAAGGUGUGCUGUGAGGCAUGCUGGAGGUAUCAGAAGUGCGAAUGCUGACAUAAGUAACGAUAAAGCGGGUGAAAAGCCCGCUCGCCGGAAGACCAAGGGUUCCUGUCCAACGUUAAUCGGGGCAGGGGGAGUCGACCCCUAAGGCGAGGCCGAAAGGCGUAGUCGAUGGGAAACAGGUUAAUAUUCCUGUACUUGGUGUUACUGCGAAGGGGGGACGGAGAAGGCUAUGUUGGCCGGGCGACGGUUGUCCCGGUUUAAGCGUGUAGGCUGGUUUUCCAGGCAAAUCCGGAAAAUCAAGGCUGAGGCGUGAUGACGAGGCACUACGGUGCUGAAGCAACAAAUGCCCUGCUUCCAGGAAAAGCCUCUAAGCAUCAGGUAACAUCAAAUCGUACCCCAAACCGACACAGGUGGUCAGGUAGAGAAUACCAAGGCGCUUGAGAGAACUCGGGUGAAGGAACUAGGCAAAAUGGUGCCGUAACUUCGGGAGAAGGCACGCUGAUAUGUAGGUGAAGCGACUUGCUCGUGGAGCUGAAAUCAGUCGAAGAUACCAGCUGGCUGCAACUGUUUAUUAAAAACACAGCACUGUGCAAACACGAAAGUGGACGUAUACGGUGUGACGCCUGCCCGGUGCCGGAAGGUUAAUUGAUGGGGUCAGCGCAAGCGAAGCUCUUGAUCGAAGCCCCGGUAAACGGCGGCCGUAACUAUAACGGUCCUAAGGUAGCGAAAUUCCUUGUCGGGUAAGUUCCGACCUGCACGAAUGGCGUAAUGAUGGCCAGGCUGUCUCCACCCGAGACUCAGUGAAAUUGAACUCGCUGUGAAGAUGCAGUGUACCCGCGGCAAGACGGAAAGACCCCGUGAACCUUUACUAUAGCUUGACACUGAACAUUGAGCCUUGAUGUGUAGGAUAGGUGGGAGGCUUAGAAGUGUGGACGCCAGUCUGCAUGGAGCCGACCUUGAAAUACCACCCUUUAAUGUUUGAUGUUCUAACGUUGACCCGUAAUCCGGGUUGCGGACAGUGUCUGGUGGGUAGUUUGACUGGGGCGGUCUCCUCCUAAAGAGUAACGGAGGAGCACGAAGGUUGGCUAAUCCUGGUCGGACAUCAGGAGGUUAGUGCAAUGGCAUAAGCCAGCUUGACUGCGAGCGUGACGGCGCGAGCAGGUGCGAAAGCAGGUCAUAGUGAUCCGGUGGUUCUGAAUGGAAGGGCCAUCGCUCAACGGAUAAAAGGUACUCCGGGGAUAACAGGCUGAUACCGCCCAAGAGUUCAUAUCGACGGCGGUGUUUGGCACCUCGAUGUCGGCUCAUCACAUCCUGGGGCUGAAGUAGGUCCCAAGGGUAUGGCUGUUCGCCAUUUAAAGUGGUACGCGAGCUGGGUUUAGAACGUCGUGAGACAGUUCGGUCCCUAUCUGCCGUGGGCGCUGGAGAACUGAGGGGGGCUGCUCCUAGUACGAGAGGACCGGAGUGGACGCAUCACUGGUGUUCGGGUUGUCAUGCCAAUGGCACUGCCCGGUAGCUAAAUGCGGAAGAGAUAAGUGCUGAAAGCAUCUAAGCACGAAACUUGCCCCGAGAUGAGUUCUCCCUGACUCCUUGAGAGUCCUGAAGGAACGUUGAAGACGACGACGUUGAUAGGCCGGGUGUGUAAGCGCAGCGAUGCGUUGAGCUAACCGGUACUAAUGAACCGUGAGGCUUAACCUU